rnacentral:rRNA from 1 species
UUGGCCUUGACAUACUAAGAACUUUCCAGAGAUGGAUUGGUGCCUUUCGGGAACUUAGAUACAGGUGCUGCAUGGCUGUCGUCAGCUCGUGUCGUGAGAUGUUGGGUUAAGUCCGCAACGAGCGCAACCUUUUCCUUAUUUGCCAGCGGGUCAUGCCGGGAACUUUAAGGAUACUGCCAGUGACAAACUGGAGGAAGGCGGGGACGACGUCAAGUCAUCGUGGCCCUUACGGCCAGGGCUACACACGUGCUACAAUGGUCGGUACAAAGGGUUGCUACCUCGCGAGAGGAUGCUAAUCUCAAAAAGCCGAUCGUAGUCCGGAUCGCAGUCUGCAACUCGACUGCGUGAAGUCGGAAUCGCUAGUAAUCGCGGAUCAGAAUGCCGCGGUGAAUACGUUCCCGGGCCUUGUACACACCGCCCGUCACACCAUGGGAGUUUGUUGCACCAGAAGUAGGUAGUCUAACCGCAAGGAGGACGCUUACCACGGUGUGGCCGAUGACUGGGGUGAAGUCGUAACAAGGUAAGCGUAGAUGA